rnacentral:rRNA from 1 species
GAUGAACGCUGGCGGCGUGCCUAAUACAUGCAAGUCGAGCGAACAGACGAGGAGCUUGCUCCUCUGACGUUAGCGGCGGACGGGUGAGUAACACGUGGAUAACCUACCUAUAAGACUGGGAUCACUUCGGGAAACCGGAGCUACUACCGGAUAAUAUAUUGAACCGCAUGGUUCAAUAGUGAAAGACGGUUUUGCUGUCACUUAUAGAUGGAUCCGCGCCGCAUUAGCUAGUUGGUAAGGUAACGGCUUACCAAGGCAACGAUGCGUAGCCGACCUGAGAGGGUGAUCGGCCACACUGGAACUGAGACACGGUCCAGACUCCUACGGGAGGCAGCAGUAGGGAAUCUUCCGCAAUGGGCGAAAGCCUGACGGAGCAACGCCGCGUGAGUGAAGAAGGUCUUCGGAUCGUAAAACUCUGUUAUUAGGGAAGAACAGAUGUGUAAGUAACUAUGCACGUCUUGACGGUACCUAAUCAGAAAGCCACGGCUAACUACGUG